rnacentral:lncRNA from 1 species
GCUGUGAGCUGCCAUGUGUUUUGUCUGCAUGUAUGUCAGUGCUCCACAGGCAUGCUUGGUGCCUACGGAGGCCAGAAGAGGACAUCAGGUCCCCUGUGAGUUACAGAUAGCUGCGAGCUGCCACGUGGGUACUUAGAAUUGAACUCAGGUUCCCUGGAAGAACAGCCAAUGCUGUUGACUUGGUAAGUCAGUUCUCCAGCCCCAUGGAGCCUGUCUUUUUAUCCUUUCCUUUGUUUGUUUUUGUUUGUUUGCUGGCUUGUUUGCAGGUGUGCUGUGUUGGAUCUCUGGCUUCGAUCUCCUGGACUCAGGUGAGCCUCCUGUCCCAGCCUGUGGAGCAUCUGGGAUUAUCACUGCUUGCUGCCUGUAUACUCGGCAUGUAACCUGACCUUGGACAGACUUGGGCCAAGAAUAUCCAGGACUCUCAGUUUGAAUAUUACCAUGAUUCUAGAAUGUGUGUGUGUGUGUGUGUGUGUGUGUGUGUGUGUGUGCAGGCACAUGUGUGCACACGCUUCCGGAAACUGAACCCAGGGCCUUGUACAUGCUAGAAAUCCCCCCACCACUGAGUUAUACUCUCAGCCCUUUAAAAUAUCUUUAUUAUACUCAUUCUGUGCAUGCAUGCAUUUGGGGUGUAAGCUUUACAUUUUCAAAAUCUGCUUUUAAUAUGGGUUCUAAACACUUUAACCUCCCUUCUAGCCCACCACCCACCAGAGGUAGUGGGAAAGAAAGAUUAUUAGGAUAAAGAGGAAGUGGACUUGUUUAGAAAUGGUUCUUUGGAGUAAAUCCCAUCUGCAUUGUCAGGAAAUCAGCAGUUCAGUUCACAGGAAUCAGCAGCAGAAGCUCGACCCACUCGCAGACACGAUACAGAUAUAACAGCAGUCCAGUUCCUUAGAGUCGGAAUAGCAAACAUGAAUCAGCGGCAGAAGCAUGAUCCAGCAGAAACAGCCAGGCCUCAGUUGAGUCAGCACAAGUCAGCCGAAGGGACCAGGACCACUAGGGAUGCCAGG